UGCCUAGGGACGCAGCAGUCGAGAAUCAUUCACAAUGGGGGAAACCCUGAUGGUGCGACGCCGCGUGGGGGAAUGAAGGUCUUCGGAUUGUAAACCCCUGUCAUGUGGGAGCAAAUUAAAAAGAUAGUACCACAAGAGGAAGAGACGGCUAACUCUGUGCCAGCAGCCGCGGUAAUACAGAGGUCUCAAGCGUUGCUCGGAAUCACUGGGCGUAAAGCGUGCGUAGGCUGUUUCGUAAGUCGUGUGUGAAAGGCGCGGUCUCAACCCGCGGACGGCACAUGCUACUGCGAGACUAGAGUAAUGGG
rnacentral:rRNA from 1 species